AAAAAAUAGUAUAAAAGUAUCGAUUGAUGCGGGAGUGACGUCACGUGCGAAACACGCUGGUUCGCCGUACGCGGCGGUGUAUACACGACGCAUAUAUAACGUGUAUGAGCGGCGUGGGGUGAGGGUCCCUGCGGCCGUCGGUGGCGGAGGCGAGUACACGAUAUGAAAUUCAAUUUUAGUUAGUUUUUAUACAAGUACGUUUUUGUGGUGGAGUGAGGGCGUGGAGCGGGGGAAUAAGUUUUCGAGCUGCGCACUGUGCCUAUGUGUGCGUAUAUGUGGACGUUUGUCACCCUCUGACUUUUGAGUAUGCUCGUGUGCGUCGCGUAUGCCUAAGUGUGUGUAUGUGUGUGCGAACACCGCCCAGUUUUACGUUAUUAAGAUUAUUGGUCGCCGACGGAGGGGUCGUCGUCGUCACCGCCGCCGUUACCAACGUCGCAGCACUAUUAGGUCUACGUCCACCUCCUUGGACGGCGAGGGACAAGGGGACAGAUCGUACCCCCCUUCGACUUUUCCUCUUAGCAUCGUCGUCCCGGUUGCAUUUUUAGUCGUUCUCCGUUCCUCUUGUUUUUAGAUAGCGCAUACUGACCGCCAACGCGAGGGUAAAAUAUGAAUCUCUCCCCAUUACCACACUACCACCCCCACCGAUAACAGAAUUUACUAUUUUUCGUCGAUAUCACGCAAAAAUUAAUGUUUCUUCUUUUUUUUUUCAAAAACAUAAAAUAAAAAUACUAACAAUGCAUCCCGUAUUUCACCCCAAAAAUGUUACUUGAGCGUAUAUAUUUUUACACAUAUUGUACAAUUUUCAUAAAUGUAUGGUAAUACAAAAAAAGGCAAUACAAGUAAACGAAUCCCUAUUGCAUCACCCUGCAUCCCCUGUGACAACCCUCCACUGCUCUUCACGUUGCAGCCGUACGAAUGUCCCGUUGUUGGGAUUCAUUUGUGGUUAAAAAGUAUAGACGAUCGAUAAUGUAUGCGCGUUAAAAUAAUAGGAUUUUCUAUGUGAACAUUUUAGUUGUACGCAAUUUCAAAAUCAAUGAUUACAGCUCAAAUAAAUAAUUUGCUAUUGAAAUAUUAUUAGUAUGUAUCAAGCAUUAUAAUGUAUGAUGUUUAAUAAGUAAAAGCGUACUCUUUGAAUUGAAAAACCUGUUAUAAUUAAAAUAUCAACAAUACAUAUUAAUUCAUAUUACCUGUCAUUAUGAAGUUAUAAUAUAUAAUUUUAUUAUUGUUUAUAAUGUUAUUGUAAGUUAUGAAAUAUAAUAUAUUAUACUUCAUAGAGAACAGUAAGUUAUAUCCUAAAUUAACUAUGAAACACAGGUUUGAACUCGGUAUUCAGUUUAAGAAGAGCCAAAUACUUGUUUAAUAAAAGUAUUUUUUAUACAGCUAACGAGUCUGUAUGAAAACAGUUUUUUUUAAAUAAUUAUUAGAAAGACGUACAUUAACUAAUAUAAAACAUUUUAUUUUCAGUAUUGUAAAAAAAAUGUGCAGAGAAAGCAGUUACAGGAGCUCCUAGUUAAAUAAGAACGUAGAUUAACCGUUUUUUAAAUAUAAUUAGGAGUAUAAGUGAGGGUACUAUUCGCACACAGGUAUCUCGGUAGUUUCAGGACUGUUGUAUUACAUUUUUAUUGCAGUGGUUUUGAAUUUAAACCCAUUAUUUGAUGCAAAUUGAUUAAUCAUUAAUUUUGUUUUAAACUGAAUAUCUUGCAUGAAUGACCACCACAAGUAAUAGUAUAUACUGAGUUCCAUCAUAUUUUCAUUGGUUAAAAUGGAAAAAUCAAUAUCAUUACUAAAGUAGUGAAAACAUUGAAUCUUAUAUCUACUGAUAUUGUAUAUAAUAUCAACGGUAAUGUAAUAUUGUACUAAUAAAGUUUACGGUGAGGUAAGAAGAAACCCAAAUGCCGAAAGUGAUUCCAUUUAUAUGUAUCUAUAUAACAAUGUUUGCAGGUUGUAGCAACGAUAUCUUGCAUAUAGUUCCAAGUAGUUUUGAAGAAGUGUUUUCGGUCAAUAUGAUGUUUAACUUGAAUUCCAUUAUCACAAAGUUAUUAUAAAUAGAAUGUAUUAUCCGGUGUUCUUCAUUUAUAGGAAGAUUCUAACUUUUACGAUUCAGAUGAAAGGGCUCGACUAAAAACUCAAUGUAUAUGUGUCUUUCCACUUGUAUAGUUUGUUAAACAAACUAUGUGGUUAAGACUAUUCCGGGAUUCUCAGUAAACUAUAAUUAUCUAGACACACUUAUACUAAAACUCAUUUACAACAUAAAGUAUAAAUAAUUCAUGUAUCUAAUAAACUGUCUAACUAUUAAUAAUAGUAUUUAUAGUUCACAAAUAAUUUAGUCAGAUUUGACGUAUGCAUUUAAUUAAAAUAACACUAAACGCACUGUGCGUUUAGCACAGUUCGUAAGUUAUGCUAAAAUACACUUAAUCAGUUUAAAAAUAUAUGUAUUAUAUUGUAUAAUGCAUUGAUACAUAAUACGAUUAAUUACAUUAAUUUAAAGCCAUUAAAAUAUAUUAAUAUAUAAUAGAACAUUGUAAAAUUUAUCAAUACUAGAAUUUAACAAGCUUCACUUUUCAACAUUUUUAUUUAUAAUAAAAAAGCUCGACAGCAUUACUCUGGGAAAAACGCGAAUAUGUGAAUUUUUUUUUAAUUCCUUUAAAAUGGACGAUUUUUUUGACAAAAACGCUUAUUGCCGCCAGCCAUUUUCUAUAAAAAGAUUGAAAUUUUUACCAAGGUUGUCCAUAGACAUUUGAGAGAUACCCAUUUUUUUAAGUCCAUGCUCAUAGUUUUUAUUUGGACAUCGUUUUAUGUGCGCGCUUUGCAAUUUUAUUUAUAUUUUGUGUUUCUCUAACAGAAAACACAAAUAAAACGGUAUUUACAAAUUUUAUUUUAAUGAUUGUAAAGUUUUCUUUUGCAUACCCGUUAUGCUAAAUAAUAAUUAAUUGAUUAUUAUUAAGUAUACAUGUUUAUAUACAUAAAUAUAUUUUAUUUUAUUUUUUAACUACUGCGGCAUUUAAGGCCAUUGGUCUAAGUAUAACUUCGAAUACAUGCAUAUCUGUAUUUUAAUUUUUAUAGUCAAAUAUAAAGAUAUUAUUUUAUAGAGUA